rnacentral:sRNA from 1 species
UGUUGAAUGUCGUCUUUAAGUUAAAUGUCGUCUUUAUGUUGAAUGUCGUCUUUAAGUUGAAAGUCGUCUUUAUGUUGAAUGUCGUCUUUAAGUUGAAUGUCGUCUUUAAGUUGAAUGUCGUCUUUAUGUUGAAUGGCGUCUUUAUGUUGAAUGUCGUCUUUAUGUUGUAGGUCAUCUUUAAGUUGUAUAUUAAAUGUCGUCUUUACGUUAGUCUUUAUGUGUCGUCUUUAUGUUGUAGGUCAUCUUUAAGUUGUAAGUCAGUCUUCUAUAUGUUGCAUAUCGUCUUUAUUUUCUAUGUCAUCUUUAUGUUGUAGGUCAUCUUUAAGUUGUACGUCAGUCUUCUAUAUGUUGCAUAUCGUCUUUAUUUUCUAUGUCAUCUUUAUGUUGUAGGUCAUCUUUAAGUUGUACGUCAGUCUUCUAUAUGUUGCUUAUCGUCUUUGUUUUCUAUGUCAUCUUUAUGUUAGUCUUUAUGCGUCAUCUUUAUGUUGUAUGUCGUCUUUAUAUUUUGUCUGCUAUCA